CUUACAUGUUUUCUUCAAGAAGCAAAAAGAAGAAAUGUGGUUUACGGUGCUGUCCGGGCCUGCGCUAUUCUCCGCCAGGAAGUUUGUCAUUUCUCAUUUCUGACAUGAAUUCCUAAAAUCUCUGUUAAAACGGUUGUGGACUAAUCAAUAAUUGGGGCUAGAGUUCAUGUUAUAUCAUAAUACACUUUUCUUUGUACUGUAGAUUGUAUUGGACCUAGAAAACGCUUAAAACGAUGUUUCAGGAGCAGUCAAAUCACGUGAUCACAGCCAGACCGCAAGAGAAACCCCGAAGAACAAAGAGAGGAGGUGAUGAGGAUGUUUCUUCUGUGGAUAUAGCUAUGCAUUAUGACGUGAAGAUGAAGAAAAGACCUUCAACUGCAAACCAAUGACACAAAAAAGGAUGGACUCUGGAGUGCAGCAUUACUUCAAUAAGAUGAAAAUAACACACUCCUCUAUGAUUCACAUAAGAGACGAAUGCAAACUUCAGAUCUUGUGGAAGCCACCAGGAUCACCUGAAGCACCAGCGUCGAUCAGGCUCUUCUUGCCCUCCUCCCAGAUCCUUCUCUUCCCCUGAGCGCAGCUUUGUCUUCAGACA